GUCCAGGGAUGGGAAACGAACCCACAACGUUCCGCUUACCGGGCAGAUGCCAUGUCCACUAGGCUACCCUGGA
rnacentral:tRNA from 1 species